rnacentral:misc_RNA from 1 species
GUAACAAGGUUUCCGUAGGUGAACCUGCGGAAGGAUCAUUAAUUAUGUUAAAGCGCCUUACCUUAGGGUUUCCUCUGGGGUAAGUGAUUGCUUCUACACUGUGAAAAUUUGGCUGAGAGACUCAGACUGGUCAUGGGUAGACCUAUCUGGGGUUUGAUCGAUGCCACUCCUGGUUUCAGGAGCACCCUUCAUAAUAAACCUAGAAAUUCAGUAUUAUAAAGUUUAAUAAAAAACAACUUUUAACAAUGGAUCUCUUGGUUCUCGCAUCGAUGAAGAACGUAGCAAAGUGCGAUAACUAGUGUGAAUUGCAUAUUCAGUGAAUCAUCGAGUCUUUGAACGCAGCUUGCACUCUAUGGUUUUUCUAUAGAGUACGCCUGCUUCAGUAUCAUCACAAACCCACACAUAACAUUUGUUUAUGUGGUGAUGGGUCGCAUCGCUGUUUUAUUACAGUGAGCACCUAAAAUGUGUGUGAUUUUCUGUCUGGCUUGCUAGGCAGGAAUAUUACGCUGGUCUCAGGAUCUUUUUUUUUGGUUCGCCCAGGAAGUAAAGUACAAGAGUAUAAUCCAGUAACUUUCAAACUAUGAUCUGAAGUCAGGUGGGAUUACCCGCUGAACCUAAGCAUAUC